ensembl:miRNA ptr-mir-155 ptr-mir-155
CUGUUAAUGCUAAUCGUGAUAGGGGUUUUUGCCUCCAAAUGACUCCUACAUAUUAGCAUUAACAG